GCUUGUCUCAAAGAUUAAGCCAUGCAUGUGUAAGUAUCAGAAGUCUGAACUUCAAAACUGCGAAUGGCUCAUUAUAUCAGUUAUAGUUUAUUUGAUAGUACCUUACUACUUGGAUAACCGUGGUAAUUCUAGAGCUAAUACAUGCUAUCAAGCCCGACUUCUUGAAGGGUUGUAUUUAUUAGACUUAAGCCAAUAUUCCUUGUGUCUAUUGCGAUGAUUCAUAAUAACUGAUCGAAUCUCAAAUUUGAGAUAAAUCAUUCAAGUUUCUGCCCUAUCAGCUUUCGAUGGUAGUGUAUUGGACUACCAUGGCAGUAACGGGUAACGAAGAAUUAGGGUUCGAUUUCGGAGAGGGAGCAUGAGAAACGGCUACCACAUCUAAGGAAGGCAGCAGG
rnacentral:rRNA from 1 species